AUAGCAAGAAACUAAUAAAGCAAAAUCAUUUCAGCUUGAUAACCAGUUCUAAAAAUCUGCAAGACAUACAGUUUCUGUGUCAUGAAGUAAUAUCCCAAAGGAAGUUAAUGGAUACAAAUAUAUCUCAGCAAAAUAGUAAGGAAGCUACAACUGGUGGUAACUGAAAAUCUUCGUUAUCUCUAGAUCUAAUCUUUAUUAUGUCAAGAUCCUGUGGAAUUGAGAACAAAUUGAGGGUAAAUCCAACUGGAUUUUAAACUAGUGGAUUUUCUAUGCUACAGGGCAAAUGUGUUAAUCUAAGAAAACUGAGAAAAAUAGGCUUUUUGUACUUUGGAAAAUGCAAUUACAGACUGUUGCAAGGUUUAAGGAAAUGACAUGGUUAUCUCUGCUUGUGACAAAAUCUUUCCUCUAGUACAAUUCCAGUGAUCUGCUUGCUUUUGCCAUGUCUGAGUAAGACAGGGUUUGUUUGUUGUUUUUUUUUUUUUUAAUUUUUAAUAAUGAAGAAGCAGAAUAUGUAAAAUAUUCCAUGGUGUAAAAACAAACCAAGACUGAUUGACUGUUUGAUCUUUCUAAAUUAAAUGUGCAAAAUUCUCUUGAGCAUUUGGAGAAUGACCCAACCACUUGGACCUCUGCCUGGUUGGUGUCCUAUCCUGGACUCUUCAUAAGGGCUGCUCUUCAUAGCUGAUUGGUUGCUUCACCAGUAGUGAAGGAUAAUGAGCUUCAAGGACUGUGGGAACCUGCAGUUGAAGCAGAACUGAGGUAUCCUGCAAAAACAUUAAAAGGACAAUGGGGGAUCACACUUGAGGGGGAGAGGAAGUGCAGAACUACCAUGUGACUACUUGAAUAAGAAAGCUUUAUGUUGAGACUCAUUAAAUGCCAUCCUUUUUGCUUGUUCUCCUUGACUAGGACUAAUAUGCCAUUUGAAUGUUUUAUAUUGCCUGUGAACAAUUUUAUAUUAUGAAUGAUGCUAGCAGAAUCAAAGUGCAGCGGCUACUGCAUGUAAAAGUCACAGUUCCCCUGUAGCCAAAUGACAUUGAAAUACAGCUGAAGAUCCCAACAAUCAACCAUUGCAUAUACAAGCUGGGGCUCGGGGGGAGGGUAAGCAACAGAAGUAUCACUGCAGAGAAUAGUUAUCCCAGAGCUAGAAUUACCUGAUGUGGGCAAAAAUUGUUAAAUAGUUCACUCCCUUAAGGUCUUGCUUGGCUUUAACUAAAAAUAAACUUAUCGUCAUCUGCCAGUAGAAAAGAUCUGCUAUGUGGCCUAAAUGGGAGCUUGUCUUCUUGACCAGUAAUAAGAGCAUAUUUCUGCAACAGGGGAAAACCAGUCUCAGUUCUGCCAUUCUUAAAAUCUAAUUCAGAGCAGUGAUUGCAGUUGGUGCUGCCAUAUUUGCAAUGACAGUUCCAUCCUCAAUUAAUAUAUGCAUGUAUGUGUAUGAUCUAUCUAUGUAUAGAUAUGUAGUCUCAUUAUACUCACCCAGUGUGGUAAAACAGGUGAAGCAUGUUAACAUUACGCUUUAGGAUCACUACGCAAGGACUGAAAUGGAUUAGCAAAUUAUGUGUUCUUGGUAGCAGGAUAAGCAAUGAAUCACAAACAAAUUGUUGCUUUCUGCUAAAUCAGCACAAACCUGAAUGUCCCCAUUGUUAAUUAUUUAUGAGCUUGUUUUAAUAGUUUCCUGUAGCAGUCAGAUUAAAAUCUACUAAUAUUAUUCCAAAAAAUAAAAACCUUGUUCUCUGCUGCUUUGUAGUGAUAUACAUCUGAGUAAUGUCAGUGUAAAAUGUUAUCAUUCUGUUGUGGUAGAGCUCUACACCCACUUUUUGCUAGUGUCAAUAACUACACAUGCUAAGAAACUAUGCAUGCAUGGAACCAAGCCUUUAAAAUAAAGUUCAAUAAGCAAAUUGAGCAGAGUUGUCAGAGAAAUGUGAGCUGUAGUGCUGUUGU